rnacentral:rRNA from 1 species
GACGAACGCUGGCGGCGUGCUUAACACAUGCAAGUCGAGCGGUAAGGCCCUUUCGGGGGUACACGGGCGGCGAACGGGUGAGUAACACGUGGGUGACCUGCCCUCAGCUCUGGGAUAAGCCUGGGAAACCGGGUCUAAUACCGGAUAUGACUCCAUGACGCAUGUUGUGGGGUGGAAAGCCUUGUGCGGCUGAGGAUGGGCCCGCGGCCUAUCAGCUUGUUGGUGGGGUGAUGGCCUACCAAGGCGACGACGGGUAGCCGGCCUGAGAGGGCGACCGGCCACACUGGGACUGAGACACGGCCCAGACUCCUACGGGAGGCAGCAGUGGGGAAUCUUGCGCAAUGGGCGAAAGCCUGACCCAGCGACGCCGCGUGGGGAUGAAGGCCUUCGGUCGUAACCCUUCGUCGAGGGGGGACGGGAGUGGGUCGUGUGAGC